rnacentral:rRNA from 1 species
AUGUUCCUGGAACCAUACUGGAUGCGGCACGCGGAGGCCAGCGCCGUGGUGGUCUCCGGAUGGCACCGCAUGAGCUACAGAGCCACCGACGGUCUCUUCCAGUCCGUCGAGCUCGAGCGCUGCAUCAGGCGGCUGCACAGGGCCGUCGGCAACGCCGUCGCCGACGACAAGCAAAUCGUCUUCGCCACCGGCUCCAUGCAGCUGAUCAACGCGCUGGUGUACGCCCUGUCCCCAGACAGCAACUCCGGCUCGACGGCCAACGUGGUCGCCACCACGCCGUACUACCCGGCUUACAGAACGCAGAUCGUGUUGUUCGACAGCCGGGAGUACAAAUGGGCCGGGAACACCUCCAUGUGGGCGAAAGCGUCGGGGAACUCCACCACCAAGGAGGACGUCAUCGAGUUCGUGACGUCGCCGAACAACCCCGACGCCCUGCUCCACCAGCCCGUCGUCGUCGGCUCGUCGGCGAUCCUCGACCACGCCUACUUCUGGCCGCACUUCACGCACAUCCCCGCGCCCUCCGACGCGGACGUCAUGCUCUUCACCACCUCCAAGCUCUCCGGCCAUGCCAGCAGUCGAUUCGGGUGGGCGCUGAUAAGGGACGAGAAGGUGGCCAAGAGGGUCAAUGACUACAUUAUGCAGAACACCAUGGGCGCGUCCCGCGACACCCAGCUCCGGAUGCUUGCCAUCUUCAAGACCAUACUGGCCAACCUGCACGGCAAGGAGGACAUCUUCGCCUUCGGGCACGACGUGAUGACGGCCAAAUGGCGCAAGCUUAGCGCCGUCGUGUCGCACUCCCGCCGGAUCUCGCUGCAGAACAUCCCUCCCCAGUACUGCACCUACUUCGACAAGAUCAGGGAGCCAUCCCCAGCUUAUGCGUGGGUCAAGUGUGAGAGGGAGGAAGACAGUGACUGCUCCGACGUGCUGCUCAAGGCCAAGAUAAUCACACGGUCCGGCGUCUGGAACGAUGCCAGCAGCCGGUACACGAGGAUAAGCCUCAUCAAGUCCCAGGACGACUUCGACCUGCUCCUCGACAGGAUCACAGAAUUUGUCGAUGCCGAGCUCACCGCUGCUGGUUCCAACUCCAUGUGA